UUAAACAAAUUAGUUGGCGAAAUUCCAGAGCGCAUCGAAUCUAAGCGUUUGAAGUUCUUGUAUUUGAUGGGCAACAUGCUCAGUGGAAAUGUUCCAGACUCAAUCUUACGGGACGGGAUGACCAUUGAUCUUUCCUACAAUAAUUU